AUCCUGGCUCAGGACGAACGCUGGCGGCGUGCUUAACACAUGCAAGUCGAGCGGAAAGGCCCUUCGGGGUACUCGAGCGGCGAACGGGUGAGUAACACGUGGGCAACCUGCCCUCAGCUCUGGGAUAACUCCGGGAAACCGGGGCUAAUACCGGAUAUGACCAUUCCUGGCAUCUGGGGUGGUGGAAAGUUCUUCGGCUGAGGAUGGGCCCGCGGCCUAUCAGCUUGUUGGUGGGGUAAUGGCCCACCAAGGCGACGACGGGUAGCCGGCCUGAGAGGGCGACCGGCCACACUGGGACUGAGACACGGCCCAGACUCCUACGGGAGGCAGCAGUGGGGAAUAUUGCGCAAUGGGCGGAAGCCUGACGCAGCGACGCCGCGUGAGGGAUGAAGGCCUUCGGGUUGUAAACCUCUUUCAGCAGGGACGAAGCGCAAGUGACGGUACCUGCAGAAGAAGCACCGGCCAACUACGUGCCAGCAGCCGCGGUAAUACGUAGGGUGCAAGCGUUGUCCGGAAUUAUUGGGCGUAAAGAGCUCGUAGGCGGUCUGUCGCGUCGGCUGUGAAAAACUCGGGGCUCAACC
rnacentral:rRNA from 1 species